rnacentral:rRNA from 1 species
UACGUAGGUGGCAAGCGUUGUCCGGAUUUACUGGGCGUAAAGAGCGCGCAGGCGGUCGUUCAAGUCGCGUGUGAAAGCCCCCGGCUCAACUGGGGAGGGUCACGCGACACUGAUCGACUCGAAGGCAGGAGAGGGUAGUGGAAUUCCCGGUGUAGUGGUGAAAUGCGUAGAUAUCGGGAGGAACACCAGUGGCGAAGGCGACUACCUGGCCUGUUUCUUGACGCUGAGGCGCGAAAGCUAGGGGAGCAAACGGG